rnacentral:tRNA from 1 species
GAACGUACAUCUCAGUGAUAGAGUGUGUGCUUAGCAUGCAUGAGGUCCUGGGUUCAAUCCCCAGUACCUCCA